rnacentral:rRNA from 1 species
UGGGGAAUAUUGGACAAUGGGGGGAACCCUGAUCCAGCCAUGCCGCGUGUGUGAAGAAGGCCUUAUGGUUGUAAAGCACUUUAAGCGAGGAGGAGGGUACUGGUAUUAAUACUACCAGGUACUGGACGUUACUCGCAGAAUAAGCACCGGCUAACUCUGUGCCAGCAGCCGCGGUAAUACAGAGGGUGCGAGCGUUAAUCGGAUUUACUGGGCGUAAAGCGUGCGUAGGCGGCUAAUUGAGUCGGAUGUGAAAUCCCCGAGCUUAACUUGGGAAUUGCAUUCGAUACUGGUUAGCUAGAGUGUGGGAGAGGAUGGUAGAAUUCCAGGUGUAGCGGUGAAAUGCGUAGAGAUCUGGAGGAAUACCGAUGGCGGAGGCAGCCAUCUGGCCUAACACUGACGCUGAGGUACGAAAGCAUGGGGGGCAAACAGG